GACGAACGCUGGCGGCGUGCUUAACACAUGCAAGUCGAACGGAAAGGCCCUUCGGGGUACUCGAGUGGCGAACGGGUGAGUAACACGUGGGUGAUCUGCCCUGCACUUUGGGAUAAGCCUGGGAAACUGGGUCUAAUACCGAAUAAGACCACGCGCUUCAUGGUGUGUGGUGGAAAGCUUUUGCGGUGUGGGAUGGGCCCGCGGCCUAUCAGCUUGUUGGUGGGGUAAUGGCCUACCAAGGCGACGACGGGUAGCCGGCCUGAGAGGGUGACCGGCCACACUGGGACUGAGAUACGGCCCAGACUCCUACGGGAGGCAGCGGUGGGGAAUAUUGCACAAUGGGCGCAAGCCUGAUGCAGCGACGCCGCGUGGGGGAUGACGGCCUUCGGGUUGUAAACCUCUUUCAAUAGGGACGAAGCGCAAGUGACGGUACCUAUAGAAGAAGCACCGGCCAACUACGUG
rnacentral:rRNA from 1 species